rnacentral:lncRNA from 1 species
CUGGAGAUUUGUGGAAGAUGAUUGGUGAGUGCUUGCAGUUCCGAGCCUCAAGAAGACCAUCUUUCCAGGACAUGCUAAAAACUUUUCUUCGCCAUCUACUAGAGAUACCAAGGAGCCCACCUGCAAGUCCUGAGAAGUAAUUUCUUGAUCUUACUUUGUACCACUUUGAAAGCAUGAUAAAUGGAAAGUACUACUUGCAUUCUAUUUUCCUGUUGUUCUGGACAUUGUCAUCGUCUUCAAUACAUACACGUUCUCUAAAUACUCACUAGCACAAGUCCCAAAUAACAUAAUGAUAUGUGUUUCCUUCAAUAAUGAUGACAACUCCACUAGCAUCAUACCAUGUAUUUGUAUAAAUGUGUUUUAUGUAUAUUAAUGGUCAUAGUUGAAGACGUUGACUGCAUGCAUUCUAGGAUGGCAUCUAUUGCAUCUUACCUGGAGAAUGUUUACAUAUUAGAUAAGGACGAAGCCCUCCAGUAGUAGUUGCACUGGCUGCUUGCUCCACAGUUUGUUCGUGCACUCUGCUAAUGUUAGUUCUAGGAUAAUGUCAGUUCUCAUUUUUAGACGGAGGGAGUAUAAGUUUAUAGAAACUGAACUGAAUGUGAAGAAGCAAAUGAUGGAACAUAUUACAGAUACUGAAUACGUUAUACAUUAUACUUUUCUGAUAUGAAGGAUUCUAACACAUUACUUGCUUCUGCAGUGAUUUCACAAAUGUAAACUUGCCCAAUGGAAGGGAACCACCACCAACCUCUAUUCUGGACCACUUUCAUGAUAAUCCGAAUGCUUUGCAUCAUCUUGUAUGUGAAGGCGAUGUUGCUGGUGUUAGGUUAGCACUUGGCAGCUUUUUAUGGCUACAUAUACAGCUACAGCAUAUACUGUGAUACUGUCUGACACCCAAAACCUUGUUUAUCUGCCAGGGAUCUACUUGCAGAGGCUGCCUCAAAGGGAAAAAGUAGUUUGAUUAGUUCCCUCUUAGAAGCACAAAAUAAUGAUGGACACACUGCGUUGCAUUUGGCAUGCCGCAGAGGCUCAGCAGAGCUUGUGGAAGCUAUUGUAGCCUACCAAGAGAAUGUAGACAUAUUAGACAAGGAUGAAGGCCCUCCCAUAGUAUUUGCUUUGGCUGCUGGCUCUCCACAAUGUGUCCGUGCACUAAUAGGGAGAUCUGCUAAUGUUAAUUCUAGACUAAGAGAAGGCCUUGGCCCUUCCCUUGCUCAUGUAUGUGCUCAUCAUGGUCAACCAGGGUGCAUGCGAGUACGUCAUCGGUUCACCACCUGACAUUUUCAGCAUGAUGGUUCCUGUUUUUACAAUCUCUCUCUGUGCGCAUGUGUGUGUUAUGCAGGAGCUGCUUGUGGCUGGAGCUGACCCUAAUGCAGUAGAUGGAGAAGGUGAAUCUAUUCUUCAUAUUGCUGUGGCCAAGAGAUAUACUGAUUGUGCUAUUGUCAUACUGGAAAAUGGAGGUUGCAGUUCUAUGAGCAUACCAAAUUCUCAGAAUAAAACGUAAGAAUAUUUACCUAGCGGAAAUGAUGAGCUAGUGACUAGGUCAUAUUCAUGUUUAUCUAUGCUGUUCUUUGCCACUAUUUCUCUUAAUUUGUUUAAGCUGUGGCAGCUUGAAUAUGACCUAAUUUUGGGUGUUCUAGCUGUCCAAUUCUUUUCUAUACCGUCUCAUUUAUUCUUCUGAUGGUGAAUAGGCCAUUGCAUUUAUGUGUUGAGACAUGGAAUGCCGCUUUAGUGAAAAGAUGGGUCGAAGUUGCAUCAAGAGAGGAGAUAUUUGAGGCAAUCGAUGUACCUAGCCCUGUCGGAACAGCUUUGUGCAUGGCAGCUGCUCUUAAAAAAGAGCAUGAGAAAGGUAAUUGCUGACUUUGCUUAUACCAGUGUACCACGCCCAACAUAUAUGAGGAUGCAUCUCUAUGGUUUUGUCGCAGUUUGACAGGGAAACUUGAAUAUGCCAGCUCCUAAGGAUAAUGAUUACAACAGACAGAAGCCUGCAUUUAUCCAUGGUGUACCAUCUCUGUUCUAAUAGUAUAAUUGGCUUAUUUUUGCUAGAGGGUCGAGAGUUGGUAAGAAUAUUGCUUGCUGCUGGUGCUGAUCCUACAGCACAAGAUGCCCCACACUGUCGAACUGCACUGCAUACUGCAGCAAUGAUCAAUGAUGCAGAGUUAGUAAAGGUAAGGGUUGUCUGGUGGUUACAUUUCUUACAACUCUUUCUUUGUUCUGUUGUCUAUAUCAAAAUGUGACACGCUUUGUCUUUGUUGUUUCUUAAUGACAGAUUAUUCUGGAAGCUGGAGUUGAUGUAAAUAUUAGAAAUGCUCAAAACACAACGCCACUUCAUGUUGCACUGAACAGAGGUGCAAACUCAUGUGUUGGCUUGCUUUUAGCCGCUGGGGCAGACUGUAAUUUACAGGUAUUGUAGCUUAUGAUCUUUUUCAAUCAUUUUAAAAAGUACCAUUGGAUAAGUCUAGAAGCUGAAUUCAAUAAAUGCUCUUCUACCAAUGGUAAAGUCGAUGUUAGGAAUUAUGUGGUAGCGCUACUAAAUAGGAGCUGUUCCCAACUUAUGAUUUAACCUUAUACUCGUUCCGAUUUAUCUGUAUACGCAUUCAAAUUUAUGUCAUUUGCAUCAUGUGUUUUUGCCCACAAAUUUCUGUUUGGGUUUCAUAUCUAGCCUACCCCAACUUGCUUGGGACAAAAGGCGUUGUUGCAUCAUGUGUUUUUGCACCUUGUAACAGUUGAAGUUCUAUUAAAAAAAACUGUUCAGCCAAAAAAACGUGUUAAUCUGUGACUUCAGGGGAGUGCUGGAAGAAGUUACCAACUUUUUGAAAUUAAGUUACUGUAGAAAGGAUUAAUCUGUGACUUGAGGGCAAGUUCCACCGAGUUAUAUAUCCCUAUCAAGUACCAAGCUCCAGCAGGCUUGGGUAGAGAAGCAUGGAGAAUAGAUGGCUUCAGUUACCAAAUGACCCUCAGAGCACAAAAAACAGGACCACUGUUGAAUUCUUUGAAUUUAAUUUUUUGUUAUGUUAUGUUCACGAGACAAACAAUUUUGUAUUUGUAUUUCUGGUCAUCUUGACGUCUCUUGUUUACAUGCCAACAGCCAACUUAAUCAAUCCAUAAGAUCCAGUUGCACCGGAAUUACUUAUGCCGAGUGCUGUUGAUUAUGCAUCUGUUUAAACUCAUUUGUGCUUUGGAUUGUCAAAAAAGGUUAGGAUGCACCAGAACUGAUUUUUGACUUACCUGCUAGCGGAAUAUUUCUAUGCUAAUUCAGGGCCUUGUUCAAGUUGGAAAAUGCAUGCUGAUAAUCCUGAUAUAAAUUUGAUGAGUAACUUACAUCCACUGAAUUUACUGUCUCACCGAUGGUAUAAAUUGGUCCUUGUGAGGCAUUCUGUCCUGUCUUUUUCUUUCCUUUGAUUUUCUUGGUCUUUUUUCAGCUUUGUAGGAAUUUUACGAAGAGCUGGAAUUCUGACCCUUUUUUUUGUGGUUACUGAUUUCUUUUUUCAAAACCUGAUUUUAUUAGAACACAACUAUAUGCUAGCUCCAAGUAAAUAAGUAAUCAUGCUAUGUGUAUUUAACGUUAUGUUAUUUGGUUAAUCAGGAUGACGAUGGUGAUAAUUCUUUUCACAUAGCUGCUGAUGCAUCCAAAAUGAUACGUGAAAACCUGACUUGGGUUGUUCAAAUGCUACAACAUUCAUCACCUGCUGUCGAUGUGAGAAAUCACAGGCAAGUAAUUAUGGAAUGAGUUAUUAUCCCUAUUUCCUCUUGUGGUUGUUUUCCUUCUGUUUCUGAGGGAUCCUUCUGUCAGGAUACACCAAACUAUUGCUGGAUGGUGACAGAACACCAAACAACAUAACACGAAACUGAUAUAAUAAUUCGUCUCCUUUUUAUACUUUGCAUUCGGUUGUGUGAUUGUGUGAAGAAAAUGGUACAUCGAGCUAGUUCGCGUUUAGCAAAUUUACUUAUCAUGUUGUAUAUUAUAUGUUUACAAGUUUGAAUAUUAUUCUUGUCAACUACAGAGGCUGGACACUGCGAGAUUUCUUGGAGAGGCUCCCGCGAGAAUGGAUUUCUGAAGAAUUGAUGGAAACGCUUGAAGAGAAAGGAGUUCAUCUCUCCCCGACAACGUAAGGAACUCAUGUUGUAUCUCUUUCUACAUCUUUUUGCAAUACCUUUUAGCUCUUACCUUAAUUCUCAACAGGUCUGAUGUUGACUUUUUGUAGAUUAUAGACUUUUACAAUGCACAAAUUUUAUGUGCUCUUUUAGCUGAUCAUUGUGAAUGCAUAUUACUGCAAGAGUAUAGGCAGGAAAAAGCAAUGUACUUGUGAGAGUGGAUGAUCGAGUUUAGGAUUGAUAUACUGUUAGAACAUAUGCACCUGCAAUCAUUCAAAAAUAUGAUCAAAUUCUUUCCUAUUUAUAAAGUUUGGAGUUGGUGGUGGUCUGUUCACUCUUUCUCAACCUUCUCUCCUCCAUUCAGGAAAACCUUUUCUUACCACAGACAAGUUACACUGUGCAAACCCGAGAGUUGGAAUAGCAAGCCAUAACUCUCUCUUGCUCUUCAAUCUCUGUGAGUUUGGGUUCAUAAUUCAAAUCCAGCAAAGCUUAUCAUCAGGAUUUAAUAUUGAUCCGUAGUAUGGCCUAUAGUAGAAAAUUUUCUUUCCUUGGCAAUUCCGUAGCCAUGGGCACAGUGGUAGUGUUCUGUAUGAAAAGGACAAGUGGUUGUACUUGCACUGUUUCAAAAAUAAGUUGAAUCUUUUGUCCAUGCGGGAUAUAUUUGGUCAUGUUUUUGCAUGAUUUCUUUUUUUUUUGCAGUUGCACAUGUUUUAAAUCAAAUUCUUUUUUUUUUAGAUUUUUAAGGCACCCACCCUUGGAUGUACAAAAUCCUCUCUCUUGUCUUUAAUGCAUUUUCUUUUGCUAUAACCAGAUAUGAGGUUGCAGAUUGGGUCAAAUUUAGAAGAACAGUUACUUCUCCGACCUUUGGCUGGCAAGGUGCUGGACCUAGAAGCAUUGGCUUUGUCCAGUCUGUUGUUGACCAUGAUCACCUUGUUGUGUCAUUUUGUUCUGGAGAAGCCCGUGUUUUGACAAGUGAAGUUAUCAAAGUCAUACCAUUAAAUAGGGGGCAGCAUGUGCAGCUCAAACCUGAUAUUCUGGAGCCAAGGUAAAUGAACUUUGAUGCUUCGUACUUUCGGUAUUUUUUGCUUGGUGUCUGCCAGUGGAGUGAAGAAACCGUUGCUUAAUGUGUUUAUGGGAGAAUAACUUUGUCUCUUUUGAUAUAUUUUGUUUGAGUGGUUCAGUGUGUUCCACUAGCCUGUUAGCGUUUGAAAGCAUGACAUAUAAUUUUUGUGAUAUAUCUGAACUUUAAGAUAAUUAAAGUGAACCGACAUCAUACUAUGUUUAGUUAAGUUUGCACUGAAAUAAAGAUAGCAUUUAGUGGAUUGGAGCCCGAACUGUUUAUUUGUCGUUAGGUGCUAGUAAAAGGACCGGACAAUGGUAUCAACAGAUAAAUGUUACUCGGUACUCCAUAUCCUCCUGUUGUGCUCGGCUACGGGCUCUGGUCAUGAUAUGUUCACUUGUUCAGAAUCCACUGAAACAUAAACUUGGUGGAGAUCUCUAGUCUCUGCUCUUUGUUCUUGGUACUUUUAUCCGUUUCAAUAUUAAACUGCUAAAUUCCAUGUGGUCAAAAUGAUGAUAGCUUGCAAAUGUUGUGUUGCUUCUGCCGUUCCUUUGCGGUACUGAAGUUUGUGCCUCUGGUUUGCAAAAAGUAAAUCUGGAAAUCUGAUGGUAGAAAAUAUGAUUGCCAUUUGCAUGUUACUGUUAUUAAUAUUUCAACAUAGAUUAAGUUUCUAUUGCAUUUGUGCUCUCAGUAUCUCCUAAUGAUCUAUGAAGGAGGAAAAAAGCACACUGUAUUUAGUUAAUCGUUCUCUCUUUAAAAAGAAAUCAAUCGCCAUCUGAUGUCCUUAUUUUUAUCCUUUAGAUUUGGAUGGCGUGGUCAGUCACGAGAUAGCAUUGGGACUGUUCUCUGUGUUGAUGAUGAUGGAAUCUUGAGGGUUGGUUUUCCAGGAGCUUCUAGGGGAUGGAGGGCUGAUCCUGCUGAAAUUGAAAGGGUCGAAGAAUAUAAAGUAGGUAACUGGGUUCGGAUUCGUCCCUCACUAACAGUCGCUGUACAUGGCAUGGAAUCUAUUACUCCUGGAAGUAUCGGUGUUGUAUACUCGAUCAGACCAGACAGCAGUCUUCUAUUGGGACUAUGCUAUUUGUCCAAUCCAUGGCUCUGUGAGCCAGAGGAGGUUGAACAUGUUGAUCCCUUCAAGGUAGUGUUUUAUUUUUAUUUUGCACUUUAACCAUUUUAUCGCAUAUGAUAGCUCCAUAUUUGGGUGUCGUUACAUUUAUUCAGGGAGUUUGGGGUUUGUACAUCAAUCCAAUCAAUUGUGUAGUCAAAAGACCGUGAUCUACCAUAUUGUAUGGGGGCAAUUACAUUCAUUUCCUAGCAAUAGAGGGAAUAGUAUCAAUGGGCAACUCAGAUCUUUAUAAGAAAUAAACAAUUCGUUAGUCAAUUCCAUAAAAAUAUCUCUUAUUAAGUUUUUUAAAGCAUGGCAGAGCAAUGACAAACUGGCCUUGUAUAUGUGUGUGCUUCGAGAUCUUAUCUGUCCUUUUUCGGUAUUGUUUUAUUUCAUUUCUUUUAUCUGCAUAUUUUCCAGAUUGGUUACCAAGUGUGCGUAAAGAGGUCCGUUGCUGAGCCCAAGUAUGCCUGGGGUGGUGAGACUCAUCACAGCGUGGGCAAAAUUAUCGACAUUGAGAGUGAUGGUCUGCUCAUAAUGGAUAUCCCUAACCGUUCUGCACCGUGGCAGGCGGAUCCAUCAGACAUGGAAAAGAUCGAUGAUUUUAAGGUAUGGAGCUUAAUAUUUCUCUUUUAGCUGAGCAUAUCAAUUGGAAUCUUAUCUUCUGUUUGUGCUUGCAGGUUGGUGAUUGGGUUAGAGUAAAAGCAACAGUCCCGUCCCCAAAAUAUGGAUGGGAGGAUGUGAGUCGCAACAGUAUUGGGGUAGUUCAUAGUCUAGAAGAAGAUGGCGAUAUGGGUGUUGCUUUCUGCUUCAGAAGCAAGCUUUUUCUCUGUUCGGUUGCAGAUGUGGAGAAGGUGCAGCCAUUUGAAGUUGGGGAAAAGGUUCAUGUGUUACCUUCCAUAUCUCAGCCACGUCUUGGAUGGUCAAAUGAAACUGCAGCAACCAUUGGGGCUAUCUCAAGGAUAGACAUGGACGGAACUCUAAAUGUCAAGGUUACUGGUAGAAAUAGCUUGUGGAAGGUCGCUCCAGGUGACGCCGAGAGGCUCUCAGCUUUUGAGGUUGGAGACUGGGUGCGCUUGAAACCAAGUAUUGGGAGCAGACCUACUUAUGAUUGGAACAGUGUUGGAAAAAUAAGCAUAGCAGUGGUCCAUAGCAUUCAGGAUUCUGGUUACUUGGAGUUGGCUGGUUGUUUCAGGAAAGGGAAAUGGUUAACUCAUAACUCGGACAUUGAGAAAGUGCAACCCUUUAAGAUUGGUCUUCAUGUUCGGUUCCGUGCUGGAGUUACAGAGCCCAGAUGGGGAUGGAGAGAUGCAAAACCUGAAUCUAGAGGCAUAAUCGCUGGUGUCAAUGCUGAUGGAGAAGUAAGGGUGGCAUUCUUUGGUGUACCUGGGUUGUGGAGAGGUGAUCCUGCAGAUCUUGAGAUUGAGCAAGUCUUUGAGGUUGGAGACUGGGUUAGGCUGAAGAAUGAUGUAGAUGAUUGGAGGUCGCUCAAACCUGGUAGCAUUGGGGU